rnacentral:tRNA from 1 species
GAUCGUGUGGCCUAAUGGAUAAGGUGUCGGAUUUGGGAUCCGAAGAUUGCAGGUUCGAACCCUGUCACGGUCG